GAUGAACGCUGGCGGCGUGCCUAAUACAUGCAAGUCGAGCGAACAGGCGAGGAGCUUGCUCCUCUGACGUUAGCGGCGGACGGGUGAGUAACACGUGGAUAACCUACCUAUAAGACUGGGAUAACUUCGGGAAACCGGAGCUAAUACCGGAUAAUAUAUUGAACCGCAUGGUUCAAUAGUGAAAGACGGUUUUGCUGUCACUUAUAGAUGGAUCCGCGCCGCAUUAGCUAGUUGGUAAGGUAACGGCUUACCAAGGCAACGAUGCGUAGCCGACCCGAGAGGGUGAUCGGCCACACUGGAACUGAGACACGGUCCAGACUCCUACGGGAGGCAGCAGUAGGGAAUCUUCCGCAAUGGGCGAAAGCCUGACGGAGCAACGCCGCGUGAGUGAUGAAGGUCUUCGGAUCGUAAAACUCUGUUAUUAGGGAAGAACAAAUGUGUAAGUAACUAUGCACGUCUUGACGGUACCUAAUCAGAAAGCCACGGCUAACUACGUG
rnacentral:rRNA from 1 species